rnacentral:tRNA from 1 species
GGGGCCGUCGUCCAGCUUGGUCUAGGAUACCAGCCUGAUCCGCUGGAGAUCGCCGGUUCAAAUCCGGCCGGCCCCA